UUUUUUUUUUUUUUUUUUUAAUAUUUUUUAAGAUGUUCAUAAAAAUGUUGAUUGAAAUGCAUAGAUUGGACCAUGAGUGAUAAAUUAUCAUCUUCGCAAGGAGGACAUUAAGUGGUCCAAGUCAACUAAUUGGCCCAACUUACACAGAAAGAAACUGUAAACGUUUAAUUGCUAUUGGUUUUUCUAUCAACAUCACAUGGCCAUAAUUCGGCAUCCAUAUAGCUAUAAUACGACAUACACAUAAAUAACAACAGGGAAUGAUAAAACUACUUUUAAAAGAAUAGAAGGUGUCAAUUGUCAAGCUCAGAACUAUCUAAACCUGGACCAUAGACAUUUGAAAGAAGGAUGUGUUGCAUUGCAUUAUUUCCGUCCGUGUAUCUAACAGUAACUCAGAAACAAAAGAAGCAUAAAAAAUAGCUUUGCCCAAAAAAAAAAAAAAAAAAAAGAAUCUUCGAACAUAAAAAACAGCAUAAUCUCCCCAACAACUGAUACGAUUAUAUAAUUCCUUUCUUGGGGUCAAAUGGAGGGCCAAGGCUCGGAAACUCAGGUAUGUUACUUGCAAACAAACAUUUGGCUAAGAGGACAGAAACUGAAUUUGAAGGCCUCACCCUAUAGAUAGAUCCAUCUAUAUGCAUGAGCUCUUGUCGAAAAUAGACCCAAAGCAAACAAGAAGCUUUUGAUUGCAGAAUCAAAGUUGAGUUCAAAGUCAGGCUGCUUAUUUUUUUUUUCUUGUUGGAUUUAUUGUUACAUUUACACAAUAAUUUAGACAGAAAUGGCAAAGGGAUGUGAUCAUUUUUUCAGAAAAUAAAUUUGAACCUUUGAUGUUCGUUAAUUUUCUAUUUUCAUAGUUAUCCUGUUAAGAUAGUUUUGGUAGCAACAGGAAAAACAGAAAAAAGUUCUACUACUGGAACUUUGAGGAGGAUAUAAGAAAGUGCUAAUUCUUGGCAAAUUUAAUCCAACAACUGAUAUUUGAAUGCUAACUCUCAACAUAAAAUUGUAAACUUGAGUGUAGCAUUAAUCCUAGAGAUGGUAAAUAAAUUUAUCAACUUUAUAGUUUGGUUUAAGCACAAGAAUUGAUGUUUUCUGCAUCUUCACAUUGCGCAAGAGAAGGACUAAAUCAACAAAAGAUUAGUCAUUAAAGGAACAAAAGUUUUCAGGGAAGAAUUUAUCGCAGAUACUAUUUCAGAUAUAUAUCCACAGCCCUCAAAAGGCGACUUCAUAUACUCGAAGAGCUGCAGUCAUUUGGCUCAAAUCCUGCCUUUUUGAAGACAGAUGAGAAAAUAAUGGAAAUCAUGAAACAUAAAAUUUAUAGUUCGUACUAAAUAAGAACAAAUAAAAGUUUUCUCCAACUAAUAAGAACAAAUACCAAAUUCCUUCCCUCUAGCCUUGCUAGAAAAUCGAUUACUGGAGCAACUAAAUCCACAACCACAUCCAGGGCAUUCCUCAAAAUUAUCAAUUGAAAACUCACCCGAUGCAAUUCCAAUAGAAAAUUCAAGCACACCACCAUUGCGAUAAACUUCAAUAAUAUCAAACCACAAAAAUAACCACUUCACUUUUAUGCCUUGCAAGCUAGAAAGUAUGCCUUGAGAUAUGUAGCCUUUGAUGGUUGGUUGGUAGCUCAACUUGUACGAACCUUCAAUAGAAAAACUACAACUACCAUUCAAAUAUGCUGAGAACUUGCCCGUGGACUCCUCUAAAUCGUACCCCGUGACUCCUUUUGGUAGUAUCCCCAUCGGAAAGUUGUACCUCUCAAGGAUUUCAUAUGCCGUUGGCUCGUCUCCCAUGGAUUUUGUAAGAAAUAAAGGGAGGAUCGCAAGCAGGAAGAAGGUUGCUUUUAUUAAUGAGAUGUUUCUUGCAUGGAAUGGUUUACCCAUCUCUUUUCUAGUAUGUGAUGGCGUGAUUUUACUGAAAAUACUGACCUUAUAAUUUAUGUGUUGAUCUUCCUCUUCUUCUUCUUUGGUUCUUCUUCUUCUUCUUCCUCCUCGUCUCUAUGUGAAAACUAUAGCCUGUUUUGUGUUUUGCUCUAUUACUCUGAAUUGGACGAAUGGUAGUUGAAGUAGGCAUGCCAGUUUGAAAUUUUAUUUUUCUUUUUGGUGUCAUUUUUUUUGCAAUCAUUGUUAUUGUUAUUAGAAUUCUACUAGCAUCAUGGACAUAAGUUUGUUAAUCAUUAUUUUGUAUUGUUUAGCAUUUUAAAUAUUCAUGAAAACAUCCAAAAAUCCCGGGUGAAAAUAACUAAAAUAUAGGGUUAAAUGGAUAGAAUAACAACAUAUUUUAAAAAUUAGCAACUACUCCAUAACUCUGAAAGUUGCAACAUCUAUGAAUUUCUAUUUUCCUUGUUAUUAUUAGUAGUAUUAUAAUUUUCACUUCAUGCAAUUGAUAUUUGAUACUUCACUUUCUUUGUGUUACGUAGCUGAUAAAUUUAUGAAAAGGAUAGGGUAACAGCAACAGGACUGGAGUCUCAAUAUUGUUGCUUUCACUAUCUUUAUUACUUUUAGUAAUAAACUUGCAUAUGAUGUGUGAAUUUAUGACAAGGAAAAACAUUAAUUUAGCCUUUUCUUUUAAAACAAAAUAAGGAAGUUAAGAUGGAUCAGUGUGCAUAU
rnacentral:lncRNA from 1 species